rnacentral:rRNA from 1 species
CAAUAGCGUAUAUUAAAGUUGUUGCAGUUAAAAAGCUCGUAGUUGGAUUUCUGGUGGGAGCGAUCGGUCUGGCGCUUAGCGCGAGUACUUGCAUCGUCUCCGGCCAUCCUUGGGGAGAGUCUGUCUGGCAUUAGGUUGUCGGGCAGAGGAUCCUCAUCGUUUACUGUGAAAAAAUUAGAGUGUUCAAAGCAGGCUUAUGCCGUUGAAUAUAUUAGCAUGGAAUAAUAAGAUAGGACUUUGGUACUAUUUUGUUGGUUUGCGCACCAAAGUAAUGAUUAAUAGGGACAGUUGGGGGUAGUCGUAUUCCGUUGUCAGAGGUGAAAUUCUUGGAUUUACGGGAGACGAACUACUGCGAAAGCAUUUACCAAGGAUGUUUUCAUUAA